rnacentral:rRNA from 1 species
UACAGAGGGUGCGAGCGUUGUUCGGAAUUAUUGGGCGUAAAGGGCGCGUAGGCGGUGCGGUAAGUCACCUGUGAAAUCUCCUGGCUCAACUGGGAGCUUGCAGGCGAAACUGCCGUGCUGGAGUGUGGGAGAGGUGAGUGGAACUGCGAGUGUAGAGGUGAAAUUCGUAGAUAUUCGCAAGAACACCAGUGGCGAAGGCGGUUGCCUGGGGCUUUGCUGACGCUGAUGCGCGAAAGCGUGGGGAGCGAUCCGG